UCAGAGGACUGAGUAAUCGCUUGGCUUUGCUAAGAGGAAAGUCCGGGCAGCGAAGGACAAGACAGUUGCUAACGGCAACCGGAGGUGACUCUAGGGAAAGUGCCGCAGAAACAAAACCGCCCCCAUUCUUAGGAAAGGGGGUAAGGGUGAAAAGAGUGGGGUAAGAGCCCACAGUCUUCCACGGUGACGUGAUAAGAGUGGUAAACCCUGUCUGCUGCAAGGUGAUUUACUAACUGCUUUUAGUAGCAGUGGUGGUCCGCUAGGUAAAUCAACAAUAAAACCGCUCGAUUGUGCAGGCAACUGCACGACUAGAUAGAUGAUUGCUCAUGACAGAACCCGGCUUAUAGGUGCUCUGAUACA
rnacentral:RNase_P_RNA from 1 species